ensembl:lincRNA
GCACACACACACACACACACACACACACACACACACACACACACACUGACACACACACAGGUAUCUAUUAUUACAGAUCACAAAACUGUUUCGAUGAAUGUUUUUUGUUUUUUUAUGUAAUAAACACCUCUCGUCCCUGCUCUUGUCCAUGUCCACAGGUUUUUCAGAAUGAUCCUGGGGAUCAGGGAAUGAUAGACAGUGUUCUUGACAUUGUCGUCGUUGCGAUUGUGUUGCUAUUGUUCAUCGGUGUCAUAUCAUGUGAACCAUCGUGUUGGUUCAGAAAGACAUCUCACCAAAAGAAGUGCUGCAUUCACUGUUUUCAAUGUAGUGGAAAAAGAAAACCAAAAGAAGAAUUAAAAUACAAACUUCCAUUGGUGAAGGAGCUUCAGGUUCAGGAAAACGAACACAUUGGGAUGGAGGAAGUUCAGGAGAUUCAAGGUGAAAUGGAUACGAUAGGAAACCAAGACUUUGGUUACAAAGAACAGGGAGAAGAUCUAAAAGAUCGAGAGAAGGUUUUGCUCGCAGAGAAAGAAAAACUGGAGCAAAGAAAGCAUAAGUUGCUGAAAAACGAAGGAAACGUGAAACGAAGAGAGAAAUUAGUGAUGGAAAGACAAAAAAAGUUGAAGGAAAAAGACAUGGAACCAAAAUUGAAAAAAGAAUUAUGGAAAAAGAAGGAAGAAGAAUGGAAGAAAGGACAGGAAGAACAGAAGAAAGGUAAAAAUGAAGUGAAGCAUUGUGAAAAAAACGAACAGGAGAGGAAAGGAAAAGACCUGUUGGAGAGAAGGAACUAUGAAGGACGCAAACGAGCGAAACAAGAAGCACAUUUUCAGACAGAAAAUUCCCAGUUGUUUGUCGGGGAAAAGCCUAAAUACACACCAUGUGAGCAAACGAAGCUUCCUUGUACAAAACCGUCGCUCAGGCAAUAAAAAUAAGCAAAUUAAGAAGGUGAAGGAGUGCAAAAGUGAGGAAGUUGAGAUCAGUCCUGGAAAAGAAGAACACACGGUCCUUGAUCAGGUGCUCAACAAUCCAUUUAAGGAUUUGGAUGAACCAACUCAACAAAAUGCUGUUUGGAAAUUGAAUUCAAAGAAACAGGAAGAAGAGGGACAGCUGCUGAAAAAAAAGGAAAAGCUCUUCUUCAAAAAACAACAGAAGCAGCAGAGACACGCAGCGAACAAGAGUGUGGCAAUUGAAGUGACACCCCUCAGAAUGUAUCAGACACCUCACCGUGAAGGCAGAUUCCAACAGAAACAGAACGUUGUUGAUUGGCUGCCACCCAAAUUCGAGCCUCAACAUAAUGACGAACUGCAGCAGCAGAAACGGUACAGUGUCAUCCUCCAACAGCAACUGCCUCCUCACCAUAAUGACUCACUGCAGCACCAACAACACAAACAACACAUUGUUGAGGGGCUGAAGGAAAAGCAGAAGCCUAAUUGUGAUCACAGGCAGCUGCAACAGCAGAGGCAGCACAGUGUUGAGGGGCUCCAGCUGGAAAGGAAGUCUCACCAUGAUGAAGAGCUGUAACAGCAGAAGCAGCACGGUGUUCAGGGACCACAUCAUAAACAGGACCUUCAGCAGGUAAAUCACUCUUCAAUACUUUGGGGCAGUUGGGGUUAACCAUCGACUUCCAUUCACCAACUAGACUGCGUGU